GACGUAGGGCGCGAGCGUUGUCCGGAUUUAUUGGGCGUAAAGAGCUCGUAGGCGGCUUGUCGCGUCGUCCGUGAAAACCCACAGCUCAACUGUGGGCUUGCGGUCGAUACGGGCAGGCUAGGGUUCGGUAGGGGAGACUGGAAUUCCUGGUGUAGCGGUGAAAUGCGCAGAUAUCGGGAGGAACACCAGUAGCGAAGGCGACACUCUGGGCCGGUACUGACGCUGAGGUGCGAAAGCGUGGGGAGCAAACAGG
rnacentral:rRNA from 1 species